rnacentral:rRNA from 1 species
GACGUAGGGGGCCAGCGUUGCUCGGAAUUACUGGGCGUAAAGGGUUCGUAGGCGGUGUGGCAAGUCGGGAGUGAAAUCUCUGGGCUUAACUCAGAGGCUGCUUCCGAAACUGCCGUGCUAGAGUGCGGGAGAGGCGAGUGGAAUUGCAGGUGGAGCGGUGAAAUGCGUAGAUAUCGCUUGGAACGCCAAUGGUGAAAACAGCAGGCUGGGGGUGUGCUGACGCUGAGACGCGAAAGCCAGGGGAGCGAACGGG